UACGGAGGAUCCAAGCGUUAUCCGGAUUUAUUGGGUUUAAAGGGCUCGUAGGCGGUCUGUCACGUCGGGAGUGAAAACUCAGGGCUUAACCCUGAGCCUGCUUCCGAUACGGGCAGACUAGAGGUAUGCAGGGGAGAACGGAAUUCCUGGUGUAGCGGUGAAAUGCGCAGAUAUCGGGAGGAACACCUGAGGCGAAGGCGGGCUACUGGGCUGAUACUGACGCUGAGGCGCGAAAGCCAGGGGAGCGAACGGG
rnacentral:rRNA from 1 species